GACGAACGCUGGCGGCGUGCUUAACACAUGCAAGUCGAACGGAAAGGCCCAGCUUGCUGGGUACUCGAGUGGCGAACGGGUGAGUAACACGUGGGUGAUCUGCCCCUGACUUUGGGAUAAGCCUGGGAAACUGGGUCUAAUACCGGAUAUGACCUUACAUCGCAUGGUGUGUGGUGGAAAGCUUUUGCGGUUGGGGAUGGGCCCGCGGCCUAUCAGCUUGUUGGUGGGGUAGUGGCCUACCAAGGCGACGACGGGUAGCCGACCUGGGAGGGUGAUCGGCCACACUGGGACUGAGACACGGCCCAGACUCCUACGGGAGGCAGCGGUGGGGAAUAUUGCCCAAUGGGCGCAAGCCUGAUGCAGCGACGCCGCGUGAGGGAUGACGGCCUUCGGGUUGUAAACCUCUUUCACCAGGGACGAAGCGUGAGUGACGGUACCUGGAGAAGAAGCACCGGCUAACUACGUG
rnacentral:rRNA from 1 species